GAGAACAGGCCGCUGCUCUGAGCCGCAGGAAUAGCCUGCCAUAAAGAGACCUGCCGAGCACAGGCUUCCAGCUUGGAAAGGGUGUGGUGAAGUCUAAACACCUCCUGGGGCCAAACAGUACCUGGGCGCCAAGCCAGGGCCUCACCCGUACUAGGCAAGCGGCUCACUGCUAAGUCACACCCCCGGGACCAGGGAAAGACUUGAAAAUGUCGUUUGAGCAGUUCAUGACAGUACACACAACGCAUGCCCCUGCUUUUCAAGGAAUUACCCAAUAACUUGGAUGGAUAGAGCAGACAUUGUUUUGGGGCUUUGGAGAGAUACCAACUUGGUGCCAUACUCCGUGGAUGCCUGAGGCAAAACACUGUCCAAAGGUUCUUGAGGACAGUGACAGACACAGUCAAACUGCCGUCCCACUCCUGGAGACGCUGCAUCCCAGAACCUGAUCCUGAGUCUGAAUUAUUUAGCCGUCUGAGUUUCCCCCUGAAUCCUGACUGCAAAUGAAGGAGGCAAUGCAGGCCGCGUCAUUCAUUCACCGAGUUUAUUCUUAACGGUGGAUCAUUAGUGUUUGUGUUCGUGUAUGGAUGAACCAUAGCCCAAACGUGGACUGAGAGGAAAAUCUGCGCGCCCGUUGUCCCCUCCCCCCCUCCCUGCUUUUAAUCCCCGAGUUUUGAGGAUUAUCACGGCUGUGAGACAAAUUUACCUGCUGAGGCAUAUUACUAGACCCUCAAUAAAAAACUUUAAAACUA